rnacentral:lncRNA from 1 species
CCAACUGUGCCGGGACGUAGAAUGGGUACAACCGGUCUUUCUCUUAACAUAACAUAUCAUACAGUCCAACUGUGCCAGGGACGUAGAAUGGGUACAACCUGGACUUCCUCUUACAUCGUGUCAGAGACGUAGAAUGGGUACAACCUGGACUUCCAUACCAUAUCAUGCCAUAACAUCAUCAUAUCAUAUGAGGACUAAAGGAUCAUCCAAUAACCAAUCCACAUCAACAUCAUAAAUGCAAUGCAACAUAUUCGUGAAUACUAAUGCAAGCAACCUACUAUAUCUCAUGGCAUUC